CGGAGGAAGGUGGGGAUGACGUCAAAUCAUCAUGCCCCUUAUGACCUGGGCUACACACGUGCACAAUGGUUGGUACAACGAGUUGCGAGUCGGUGACGGCGAGCUAAUCUCUUAAAGCCAAUCUCAGUUCGGAUUGUAGGCUGCAACUCGCCUACAUGAAGUCGGAAUCGCUAGUAAUCGCGGACUCAGCACGCCGCGGUGAAUACGUUCCCGGGCCUU
rnacentral:rRNA from 1 species